rnacentral:rRNA from 1 species
UACGUAGGGGGCAAGCGUUGUCCGGAAUCAUUGGGCGUAAAGCGCGUGUAGGCGGCCCGAUAAGUCCGCUGUGAAAGUCCAGGGCUCAACCCUGGGAUGCCGGUGGAUACUGUCGGGCUCGAGUCCGGAAGAGGAGCGUGGAAUUCCUGGUGUAGCGGUGAAAUGCGCAGAUAUCAGGAGGAACACCAAUGGCGAAGGCAGCACUCUGGGACGUGACUGACGCUGAGACGCGAAAGCGUGGGGAGCAAACAGG